rnacentral:rRNA from 1 species
UGGGGAAUCUUGCACAAUGGGGGCAACCCUGAUGCAGCGACGCCGCGUGAGCGAUGAAGCCCUUCGGGGUGUAAAGCUCUUUCGGCAGGAACGAUAAUGACGGUACCUGCAAAAGAAGCUGCGGCUAACUACGUGCCAGCAGCCGCGGUAAUACGUAGGCAGCAAGCGUUGUUCGGAGUUACUGGGCGUAAAGAGUGCGUAGGCGGUCCUUUAAGUUCGGUGUGAAAUCUCCCGGCUCAACUGGGAGGGUGCGCCGGAAACUGGAGGGCUCGAGUAUGGGAGAGGAAAGCGGAAUUCCUGGUGUAGCGGUGAAAUGCGUAGAUAUCAGGAGGAACACCUGCGGUGUAGACGGCUUUCUGGACCAUGACUGACGCUGAGGCACGAAAGCGUGGGGAGCAAACAGG